AGCGAACGCUGGCGGCGUGCUUAACACAUGCAAGUCGAACGGUGAAGGCGGAGCUUGCUCUGCUGGAUCAGUGGCGAACGGGUGAGUAACACGUGAGCAAUCUGCCCCUGACUCUGGGAUAAGCGCUGGAAACGGCGUCUAAUACUGGAUACGAGCUGCGAAGGCAUCUUCAGCAGCUGGAAAGAACUUCGGUCAGGGAUGAGCUCGCGGCCUAUCAGCUUGUUGGUGAGGUAACGGCUCACCAAGGCGUCGACGGGUAGCCGGCCUGAGAGGGUGACCGGCCACACUGGGACUGAGACACGGCCCAGACUCCUACGGGAGGCAGCAGUGGGGAAUAUUGCACAAUGGGCGAAAGCCUGAUGCAGCAACGCCGCGUGAGGGACGACGGCCUUCGGGUUGUAAACCUCUUUUAGCAGGGAAGAAGCGAAAGUGACGGUACCUGCAGAAAAAGCGCCGGCUAACUACGUG
rnacentral:rRNA from 1 species